AGUGAACGCUGGCGGUAGGCCUAACACAUGCAAGUCGAACGGCAGCACAGUAAGAGCUUGCUCUUACGGGUGGCGAGUGGCGGACGGGUGAGGAAUACAUCGGAAUCUACUUUUUCGUGGGGGAUAACGUAGGGAAACUUACGCUAAUACCGCAUACGACCUACGGGUGGAAGCAGGGGAUCUUCGGACCUUGCGCGAUUGAAUGAGCCGAUGUCGGAUUAGCUAGUUGGCGGGGUAAAGGCCCACCAAGGCGACGAUCCGUGGCUGGUCUGAGAGGAUGAUCAGCCACACUGGAACUGAGACACGGUCCAGACUCCUACGGGAGGCAGCAGUGGGGAAUAUUGGACAAUGGGCGCAAGCCUGAUCCAGCCAUACCGCGUGGGUGAAGAAGGCCUUCGGGUUGUAAAGCCCUUUUGUUGGGAAAGAAAAGCAGCAGGUUAAUACCCCGCUGUUCUGACGGUACCCAAAGAAUAAGCACCGGCUAACUUCGUG
rnacentral:rRNA from 1 species